CUGUAGCCAACCAAAUCUGCCAGAUCUCAGUCCUCAUGGGGCCUGGUAUAGAAUGGCUAUGAAUAGCAGCCUCAGUGGUAGCGAAUACAGCUGUUCCCUACAUGGGUUUCCCUAAGAAAUCUUGGAUACAGUU